rnacentral:lncRNA from 1 species
UCUUCAGGGACACAGGUCUAGUACAAGAGAACUCUUGACGACUAAGCUCAGCCAGUCUUAAAAAACUGUGCUGUAUCUACAAAGCUUUAACUACAGUAGUUGAUAAGAAUGCCAACGAGAGCUGAGGGUGUAGAGCAAAGUAGUUCUAAGCUUCAGUUAAACUUCUUUAGCAUUGAUAUGAACCAUGGACAAGUAUAUUCUGCUGCCACAAAGACUGUAAAGUGCUUCAUUUCAACAGCUGAGGCAAGCCAAGUGAUCAUUAAUAAAGCUUUUCUUGCUUCCUUCAGUGGUGUUGGUAGUAAAAUGGAAGGUGUCUUGCUGCAGGUAACUAAUGAAGAAGUGGUCAACCACAGAGUCUUCAAGAAAUAAGAAAUUCUGUACCAUCUGAAAGUAGUUCUUGUUGGUGCCUUCAUUUAAGAAGCACUUUUAAGAUAAAAGGGAAUGUUUUCUGAUUAAAAACUUCAUUUAGUACAGGUUCUUAAUAAAAUUACAAAAAU